AAGUCGUAACAAGGUUUCCGUAGGUGAACCUGCGGAAGGAUCAUUACAAAUCCACAUUCACGUCUCACACCCUGAGACCACGUUGAAAUGUUGUUGUUGUUGUCUGUGAGCUGCUGCUACUGUGUGUGAUUCAUUUCGCAUGCUUUGCUACUCACAUACACACAUCACAAACUAGUAGUAUCUGUUGCUCAAAUGUAUCUUUCUUGAUUGUGAUGAUCAAGGCAAACAAAGUACAACUUAUAACAAUGGAUCUCUAGGCUCUU
rnacentral:misc_RNA from 1 species